GAUGAACGCUGGCGGCGUGCCUAAUACAUGCAAGUCGAGCGAACGGACGAGAAUCUUGCUUUUCUGAUGUUAGCGGCGGACGGGUGAGUAACACGUGGAUAACCUACCUAUAAGACUGGGAUAACUUCGGGAAACCGGAGCUAAUACCGGAUAAUAUUUUGAACCGCAUGGUUCAAAAGUGAAAGACGGUCUUGCUGUCACUUAUAGAUGGAUCCGCGCUGCAUUAGCUAGUUGGUAAGGUAACGGCUUACCAAGGCAACGAUGCAUAGCCGACCUGAGAGGGUGAUAGGACACACUGGAAGUGAGACACGGUCCAGACUCCUACGGGAGGAAGCAGUAGGGAAUCUUGCGCAAUGGGCGAAAGCCUGACGGAGCAACGCCGCGUGAGUGAUGAAGGUCUUCGGAUCGUAAAACUCUGUUAUUAGGGAAGAACAUAUGUGUAAGUAACUGUGCACAUCUUGACGGUACCUAAUCAGAAAGCAACGGCUAACUACGUG
rnacentral:rRNA from 1 species